GACGAACGCUGGCGGCGUGCUUAACACAUGCAAGUCGAACGGAAAGGCCCUGCUUUUGUGGGGUGCUCGAGUGGCGAACGGGUGAGUAACACGUGAGUAACCUACCCUUGACUUUGGGAUUACUUCAGGACACUGGGGCUAAUACCGUAUAGGAGCUCCUGCUGCAUUGUGGGGGUUGGAAUGUUUCGGCGGUUGGGGCUGGACUCGCGGCUUUUCAGCUUGUUGGUGGGGUAGUGGCUUACCAAGGCUUUGACGGGUAGCCGGCCUGAGAGGGUGACCGGCCCCAUUGGGACUGAGAUGCGGCGCAGACUCCGACGGGAGGCAGCAGUGGGGAAUAGUGCGCAAUGGGCGGGAGCCGUAUGCAGCAACGCCGCGUGCGGGAUGACGGCCUUCGGGUAGUAAACCGCUUUCGCCUGUGACGAAGCGUGAGUGACGGUAACGGGUAAAGAAGCGCCGGCUAACUACGUG
rnacentral:rRNA from 1 species